rnacentral:rRNA from 1 species
UACGGAGGGGGCUAGCGUUGUUCGGAAUUACUGGGCGUAAAGCGCACGUAGGCGGCUUUGCAAGUCAGAGGUGAAAGCCCGGGGCUCAACCCCGGAAUAGCCUUUGAGACUGCAUCGCUAGAAUUGUGGAGAGGUAAGUGGAAUUCCUGGUGUAGCGGUGAAAUGCGUAGAUAUCAGGAGGAACACCGGUGGCGAAGGCGGCUUUCUGGACAGUAACUGACGCUGAGGCGCGAAAGCCGGGGGAGCAAACAGG